rnacentral:rRNA from 1 species
UACGAAGGGGGCUAGCGUUGCUCGGAAUCACUGGGCGUAAAGCGCACGUUAGGCGGACUCUUAAGUCGGUGGUGAAAUCCUGGAGCUCAACUCCAGAACUGCCUUCGAUACUGGCGAUCUUGAGUCCGGGAGAGGUGAGUGGAACUGCGAGUGUAGAGGUGAAAUUCGUAGAUAUUCGGAGGAACACCAGUGGCGAAGGCGGCUCACUGGUCCAUUACUGACGCUGAGGUGCGAAAGCGUGGGGAGCAAACAGG